rnacentral:rRNA from 1 species
GCACAAGCGGUGGAUGAUGUGGUUUAAUUCGAUGCAACGCGAAAACCUUACCCACCUUUGACAUGUACGGAAUCCUUUAGAGAUAGAGGAGUGCUCGAAAGAGAGCCGUAACACAGGUGCUGCAUGGCUGUCGUCAGCUCGUGUCGUGAGAUGUUGGGUUAAGUCCCGCAACGAGCGCAACCCUUGUCAUUAGUUGCUACAUUCAGUUGGGCACUCUAAUGAGACUGCCGGUGACAAACCGGAGGAAGGUGGGGAUGACGUCAAGUCCUCAUGGCCCUUAUAGGUGGGGCUACACACGUCAUACAAUGGCCGGUACAGAGGGUAGCCAACCCGCGAGGGGGAGCCAAUCCCACAAAGCCGGUCGUAGUCCGGAUCGCAGUCUGCAACUCGACUGCGUGAAGUCGGAAUCGCUAGUAAUCGCGGAUCAGCAUGUCGCGGUGAAUACGUUCCCGGGUCUU